GAUGAACGCUGGCGGCGUGCUUAACACAUGCAAGUCGAGCGAAAAGACGGGGAAGUUGCUCCCCUGACGGUAGCGGGGGGCAGGGGAGUGACAUGUGGAGAACCUACCUGAAUAACGGGGGAAACUUCGGCAAACGGGUGCCUAUUACGGCUAAUACAUUGAACCGGAAAGUAGAAGAGUUUAAGGCGGUUUUGCAGUCACUUAGCGGUUGAUCCGCGCCGCAUUAGCUAGUUGGUAAGGUAACGGCUUACCAAGGCAACGAUGCGUAGCCGAGCUGAGAGGGUGAUCCGCCACACUGGAACUGAGACACGGCCCAGACUCCUACGGGAGGCAGCAGUGGGGAAUCUUCCGCAAUGGGCGAAAGCCUGACCGAGCAACGCCGCGUGAGUGAUGAAGGUCUUCGGAUCGUAAAACUCUGUUAUUAGGGAAGAACAAGUUUGUAAGUAACUAUGCACGUCUUGACGGUACCUAAUCAGAAAGCCCCGGCUAACUACGUG
rnacentral:rRNA from 1 species